UACGAAGGGUGCAAGCGUUGUUCGGAUUUAUUGGGCGUAAAGCGCGUGUAGGCGGAACCUCAAGUCAGGUGUGAAAUCUCGGGGCUUAACCCCGAAAGUGCGCCUGAAACUAGGGAUCUAGAAUACUAGAGAGGGAAGGGGAAUUUCUCAUGUAGGGGUAAAAUCCGUAGAGAUGAGAAGGAACACCUGGGGCGAAAGCGCCUUCCUGGAUAGUUAUUGACGCUGAUACGCGAAAGCGUGGGGAGCAAACAGG
rnacentral:rRNA from 1 species